GAUGAACGCUGGCGGCGUGCUUAACACAUGCAAGUCGAACGGAAAGGCCCAAGCUUGCUUGGGUACUCGAGUGGCGAACGGGUGAGUAACACGUGGGUGAUCUGCCCUGCACUUCGGGAUAAGCCUGGGAAACUGGGUCUACUACCGGAUAGGACCACAGUUUGGAUGGUGUGGUGGAAAGUUUUUCGGUGUGGGAUGAGCUCGCGGCCUAUCAGCUUGUUGGUGGGGUAAUGGCCUACCAAGGCGUCGACGGGUAGCCGGCCUGAGAGGGUGUACCACCACAUUGAGACUGAGGGGCGGCACAGACGGCUACGAGAGGCAGAAGUGGGGAAGAUUGCAGCAGGGGCGCAAGGCGGAUGAAGCGGGGCCGCGUGUGGGAUGACAGCCUUCGGGUUGUGGAAUGCUGUCGCUAGAGACGAAGCGUUAUGUGACGGUACCUGGAGAAGAAGCACCGGCUAACUACGUG
rnacentral:rRNA from 1 species